UUUGCCCAAUGGGCGCAAGCCUGAUGCAGCCAUGCCGCGUGUAUGAAGAAGCCUUCGGGUUGUAAAGUACUUUCAGCAGUGAGGAAGGUGGGUAUGUUAAUAGCAUAUUCAUUUGACGUUAGCUGCAGAAGAAGCACCGGCUAAUUCCGUGCCAGCAGCCGCGGUAAUACGGAGGGUGCGAGCGUUAAUCGGAAUUACUGGGCGUAAAGCGCAUGCAGGUGGUUUGUUAAGUCAGAUGUGAAAGCCCGGGGCUCAACCUCGGAAUUGCAUUUGAAACUGGCAAACUAGAGUACUGUAGAGGGGGGUAGAAUUUCAGGUGUAGCGGUGAAAUGCGUAGAGAUCUGAAGGAAUACCGGUGGCGAAGGCGGCCCCCUGGACAGAUACUGACACUCAGAUGCGAAAGCGUGGGGAGCAAACAGGAUUAGAUACCCUGGUAGUCCACGCCGUAAACGAUGUCUACUUGGAGGUUGUGGCCUUGAGCCGUGGCUUUCGGAGCUAACGCGUUAAGUAGACCGCCUGGGGAGUACGGUCGCAAGAUUAAAACUCAAAUGAAUUGACGGGGGCCCGCACAAGCGGUGGAGCAUGUGGUUUAAUUCGAUGCAACGCGAAGAACCUUACCUACUCUUGACAUCUACAGAAGCCAGCGGAGACGCAGGUGUGCCUUCGGGAACUGUAAGACAGGUGCUGCAUGGCUGUCGUCAGCUCGUGUUGUGAAAUGUUGGGUUAAGUCCCGCAACGAGCGCAACCCUUAUCCUUGUUUGCCAGCACUUCGGGUGGGAACUCCAGGGAGACUGCCGGUGAUAAGCCGGAGGAAGGUGGGGACGACGUCAAGUCAUCAUGGCCCUUACGAGUAGGGCUACACACGUGCUACAAUGGCGCAUACAGAGGGCGGCCAACUUGCGAAAGUGAGCGAAUCCCAAAAAGUGCGUCGUAGUCCGGAUUGGAGUCUGCAACUCGACUCCAUGAAGUCGGAAUCGCUAGUAAUCGUGGAUCAGAAUGCCACGGUGAAUACGUUCCCGGGCCUUGUACACACCGCCCGUCACACCAUGGGAGUGGGCUGCAAAAGAAGUGGGUAGUUUAACCUUCGGGAGGACGCUCACCACUUUGUGGUUCAUGACUGGGGUGAAGUCGUAACAAGGUAACCG
rnacentral:rRNA from 1 species